ensembl:lncRNA
GGGGGAAGGUGUGCUGUCAGCCAAGCGAGCAUCAGGACCUACUAAGUUCGCUGCCUGCGGGGUGGGGACCAACAACCAGACCUGGCCUUUGCUGGGAAAGACCAGACCCCUGCGGCCCCCUGCUGGCGCGAACACCUACAGGCUCUGCAAGGACCUCUGCCGCCCGACUUGGGGUCCAGACGGCGGGGCUGGAGGCGCUCCUGGCCAGUGCCUCAUAGUAAAGUGUCUCCCAUCCACCAUGGAUUGAAAUUAUACCUUCUUUGAAGACCUGCAUUUUGGAGAGUUCCCUAAUAGUCCAGUGAUUAGGACUCUGCCCUUUCACUACAGAAGCAUGGGUUCAAUCCCUGGUUGGGGAACUAAAAUCUCACAAGCUAAGUGGCAUGGCCAAAACCAAGAAACCACAAUGACAUCCCUGCUUUUUUAUUGGUGAAGUCGUGGACAGCUACCUGUCUCCUGCAUUUCAUCAAGGCCUUCAAAGAUCUGUCCAUCCUGGAGAAAGAAGCACCGGCUGGGGCCAUCCUGCUGGACCUCAUCCGACCCAAGAGCCAGACUGCACAGCUGAUCAGGGCGGCCCCUGCCAUGACGUCCUGACGGGGACCCAGCUGAUUGUGUAGGGCAGGGCUGCUGCAGUUUUGGCCGUUGCUAUCCUCGCAGUGGGAAUUUUAAUAAGACUCUUCACCGACCGUGGCUGAAAUAGAAUCAUCCCAGCCCCAAACUACCAGUGAGAACGCUAUGCCACACGUGCAGCAUGGGAGGCGAGCUCUUUGCCUGGACCGUGGCUUCGGCCCCAGAGAAGCAGGGAGAGGAUGCCAGCUUCAUGUUCUUACUCUGAGGAUUCACACUAUCGUUCUGGACAUCAAGAAAAGCCUUACAAUUUUAUGUGCACUUUUCUCCCAAACGUUAACUCUUGCCGUGGUUUUUAAGUCUGCACAUUUGGUGUCCUGGCUGGCUGUGUUCCUUAUCCCACCUUACAUUUAAUACCUUCUGUCUUCCAGGAGAGCAGGUCCUCCAACAGUAACUGCUGGCUACGGUGUGUUUGUGGCCCUCUUGUGCGUCCAGUCUCGUG